GCAGCAGGCGCGCAAAUUACCCACUCCCGGCACGGGGAGGUAGUGACGAAAAAUAACAAUACGGGACUCUUUUGAGACCCCGUAAUUGGAAUGAGUACACUCUAAAUCCUUUAACGAGGAUCUAUUGGAGGGCAAGUCUGGUGCCAGCAGCCGCGGUAAUUCCAGCUCCAAUAGCGUAUAUUAAAGUUGUUGCGGUUAAAAAGCUCGUAGUUGGAUCUCAGUUCCAGACGGGCGGUCCGCCUAACGGUGGUUACUGCCUGGCCUGAACAGCCAGCCGGUUUCCCUAGAUGAUCUUCACCGGUUGUCUUGGGUGACCGGCACGUUUACUUUGAAAAAAUUAGAGUGCUCAAAGCAGGCGUGUAGCCUGAAUAAUGGUGCAUGGAAUAAUGGAAUAGGACUUCGUUUCUAUUUUGUUGGUUUUCGGAACACGAGGUAAUGAUUAAGAGGGACAGACGGGGGCAUUCGUAUUGCGACGCUAGAGGUGAAAUUCUUGGACCGUCGCAAGACGAACUACUGCGAAAGCUUUUGCCAAGA
rnacentral:rRNA from 1 species